rnacentral:rRNA from 1 species
AUUGAACGCUGGCGGCAUGCCUUACACAUGCAAGUCGAACGGCAGCACGGGAGCAAUCCUGGUGGCGAGUGGCGAACGGGUGAGUAAUAUAUCGGAACGUGCCCAGUCGUGGGGAUAACGUAGCGAAAGCUACGCUAAUACCGCAUACGAUCUAUGGAUGAAAGCGGGGGAUCGCAAGACCUCGCGCGAUUGGAGCGGCCGAUAUCAGAUUAGGUAGUUGGUGAGGUAAAGGCUCACCAAGCCGACGAUCUGUAGCUGGUCUGAGAGGACGACCAGCCACACUGGGACUGAGACACGGCCCAGACUCCUACGGGAGGCAGCAGUGGGGAAUUUUGGACAAUGGGCGCAAGCCUGAUCCAGCAAUGCCGCGUGCAGGAUGAAGGCCUCGGUGUAACUGCUUUGUACGGUAACGAAACGGUAGAGC